rnacentral:rRNA from 1 species
GUGGGGAAUCUUGCGCAAUGGGCGAAAGCCUGACGCAGCCAUGCCGCGUGAAUGAUGAAGGUCUUAGGAUUGUAAAAUUCUUUCACCGGGGACGAUAAUGACGGUACCCGGAGAAGAAGCUCCGGCUAACUUCGUGCCAGCAGCCGCGGUAAUACGAAGGGGGCUAGCGUUGCUCGGAAUUACUGGGCGUAAAGGGCGCGUAGGCGGACAGCUUAGUCAGAGGUGAAAGCCCAGGGCUCAACCUUGGAAUUGCCUUUGAUACUGGCUGUCUUGAGUUUGGGAGAGGUGAGUGGAACUCCGAGUGUAGAGGUGAAAUUCGUAGAUAUUCGGAAGAACACCAGUGGCGAAGGCGGCUCACUGGCUCGAUACUGACGCUGAGGUGCGAAAGCGUGGGGAGCAAACAGGAUUAGAAACCCCGGUAGUCC